AUGGCGGCACAGCAAUCGUCCCUGAGCACUCAGCUCUUCCCAGGCAGAAGGCUGCUCCCUUCCCUGGCUCUCUGGGCCACCAACGCAGCCACACAGCACUAACAACCUCUUCACAAAGAAUUUGCAAGGCACAGUCCACAGGAUGUCUCUACUCCAGCUUCAUUGCCAUCUGCAAGGAUCUCAGAGGCUCUGACGGGCCACCCAAAGGUUCAGUCACCAAAACUCAGGAAGUCAGGUAGAACCUGCAGGAAGAGGACAAAGGGCUGGCAAAGAUCACUCACUCGGAGGAUAAAAACUUUCAAGAAGCUCUACUCUUUGGGGAGACCCGUUGGGGAGGAAAUGAAACCUCUUUCCUGCAGCCACGUGACUGGGCCACCUUAGCAGCAGGACUUUCAGAGGACUUCGUCCCAGCUAAGAUCAUGCCUGCACCAUCAGGAGAAACCUCAAGCCAGAACCACCCAGGAAGCUGCGCCCAAAUUCCUGACCCACAGAAACUGGGUCCCUGAAUGCUGUCCUGCCUAAAAAAACACUCUACCCUGACCGCCAAAGGCCACCCUACAAGUCAGCCAGAGAGUGUCCCCCUCCCAGUGGCCACUCCUGUGCUCCUCGGGGACGCAGUUUUACCAGAGGAAACUGAGAUGCAGGGAGACGAAGUGACUUGCCCACCAGCACACGGCCUGUGAUCAGCAGAGCCAGGAUUCCAACACCGGCCUGCCUUCCUGAAAAUGGAUGUUCUUUCUGCUAAACCACAGAUCAGCUUCAGGGAUUAUCAUGUGGAAGAGGGGGAUUAGCCACCCAAGGAUACUCUUCAUCGCAUUGCCGGCCAAACUCCAUCUCUUUUCCCACAACCAGAAUAGUUCCAUGAAGCAGCCCGUCUCGUCCGAGCAGCCCUCAGCCCUGAGGAAGAUGCAGGACAAGGGAUGGGGCAUGUGCAAGCUUCCUGAUGCUCAAUCCUCAGAGGAUGAAGAGUCCCAGAGGAAAUUUCCCUUUAGGAAAGGAGUGUUCUGGCCAUGGUGGGGGGAGGGUACAUCUGUAAGUCAUAUAACAAA